rnacentral:rRNA from 1 species
UAGGGAAUCUUCCGCAAUGGACGCAAGUCUGACGGAGCAACGCCGCGUGAGUGAAGAAGGAUUUCGGUUCGUAAAACUCUGUUGUUAGAGAAGAACAGCGCAUAGAGUAACUGUUAUGCGUGUGACGGUAUCUAACCAGAAAGCCACGGCUAACUACGUGCCAGCAGCCGCGGUAAUACGUAGGUGGCAAGCGUUGUCCGGAUUUAUUGGGCGUAAAGCGAGCGCAGGCGGUCAAUUAAGUCUGAUGUGAAAGCCCCCGGCUCAACCGGGGGGGGUCAUUGGAAACUGGUUGACUUGAGUGCAGAAGAGGAGAGUGGAAUUCCAUGUGUAGCAGUGAAAUGCGUAGAUAUAUGGAAGAACACCAGUGGCGAAGGCGACUCUCUGGUCUGUAACUGACGGUGAGGCUCGAAAGCGUGGGUAGCAAACAG